rnacentral:rRNA from 1 species
GGAUAACCUGCCCUUGGGUCCGGCAUAACUCCGGGAAACUGGGGAUAAUUCCGGAUAACGCACAUAUGCUGGAAUGCUUUAUGCGUAAAAUGGAUUCGUCUGCCCAAGGAUGGGUCUGCGGCCUAUCAGGUAGUAGUGGGUGUAAUGUACCUACUAGCCUACAACGGGUACGGGUUGUGAGAGCAAGAGCCCGGAGAUGGAUUCUGAGACAUGAAUCCAGGCCCUACGGGGCGCAGCAGGCGCGAAAACUUUACAAUGCGGGAAACCGUGAUAAGGGGACACCGAGUGCCAGCAUCAUAUGCUGGCUGUCCAGAUGUGUAAAAUACAUCUGUUAGCAAGGGCCGGGCAAGACCGGUGCCAGCCGCCGCGGUAACACCGGCGGCCCGAGUGGUGAUCGUGGUUAUUGGGUCUAAAGGGUCCGUAGCCGGUUUGGUCAGUCCUCCGGGAAAUCUGAUGGCUCAACCAUUAGGCUUUCGGGGGAUACUGCCAGGCUUGGAACCGGGAGAGGUAAGAGGUACUACAGGGGUAGGAGUGAAAUCUUGUAAUCCCUGUGGGACCACCUGUGGCGAAGGCGUCUUACCAGAACGGGUUCGACGGUGAGGGACGAAAGCUGGGGGCACGAACCGGAUUAGAUACCCGGGUAGUCCCAGCCGUAAACGAUGCUCGCUAGGUGUCAGGCAUGGCGCGACCGUGUCUGGUGCCGCAGGGAAGCCGUGAAGCGAGCCACCUGGGAAGUACGGCCGCAAGGCUGAAACUUAA